UUUGAAGAAUUUGGCUUCUGUGGGUUGAAUCAUUUGUUGAUCACAAUUAGAUGCCUUAUAAGCAUCUUCUUGGAUGAACUAAGCUCGUGAUGAUUUGUAAAUCUUUAUAUGAAGCUAGAUGAAUGCCCUGUCUUAUUUCAAGUCAAAAGGUCCUAUAAUAAGUUAUGUUGCUCGGACUCUUCAAAAAUGUUAUUGCACUUGUUGCUUUUGGAGGUUCCGACACAUAUCCAUCAACAUUUUUGAAGAGUCUGAGCAACAUAGAUAAUUAGUGCAUAUCUUGUGAAUUGUGAUAAUUACCAUGAAUGAUGUUGCUGCUUGUUUUCUAGAAACCAUUUUUGUUGAACAGGAAAACUAAGUUUUUGGUAGCUAUUUCCUUGGAUAUGCACUGCUUACAGAAAAGGCCUCUGCUGCUGUAUAUGAUAAAGGUGGAAACUUUGUUCCAUAGGAACUGCCAAAUACAUCCAAGAAUGUUGGGGCUUAGUUUGUCCUGAAGAGCCUUGGUGCUGAUCAAAGUUUUAGCCUCUUGAUUUCUGUGAAGAAAGAAAGGUAAAAAUGUUUCCCAAAUUGUAUUUUACUGAUAGAAAAAAGGAAAGAACAGGUAAGUUAUUUCUCAAAUUGCCUGUCCAAGCAUUUAGUGUACAAAGUUAUCCAGUACUUGAGUUAGUGGCUAGUAGUAGUAAGUAACUCUUGGAAUUAGUCGAGGUGUGCGAAACUGGCCUAAACACUGCGAUUAUGAAGAAUAAGUUCCUCAAAUUGUUGAUAACUAUUUACCCUUUAUUUUUAAGAAAUUCAUGCUGGAUUGUCCUAUUGAAGUAGAAACUUGAUAGUAAAUUCUUGCGUAGUCUUACGCCCCUAGGGCUUUAGUAAGAGUGAUGCUCGAAGGUUAUUUGCACAUUACGAGUUUGAUGCUGGCACAGACAAAAAGCCUUAAAUUUAAGUGGAGAAUGGUAGACGCUUGCCCUCAGGGAUUUCUUGGUUAUAAAAAAUAAAAAGAAUUCCUUAUCUAGUCUAAGAUUUUGUCUUCUUAUAUAACUAUGAACAUAUCUCACCUCAUGAGCUAGUUUUCGGGGUUUGAGUUACGCUAACGCCUGUUUAAUAUCAUGUAAAGUUUUGGGGAUAUGUUAAUACUGAAGCUGCUUCCAAACAAAUCAAAUUGCUAUUCACUUUUUGGCAUCUUGAUUAAAUCAUCUUCUAAUCAAUGAUUAGAUGUCUUUUAAAAUGGCUUUAUUAGAUCAUAUAAUCUAACUCAUAAUGAUUUACAAAGUCUAUCAUGUGAAGCUACCUGAAUGUUGUGUCUCUUUCAAGUAAAGAGGUCCUAGAUUGUGAUGAUUGUUAAACAUUUAAUGCUGUCUAUAUUCCUAAAAGUCCUUUUUGCUAAACAGAGAAAUUGAAGCUUU
rnacentral:lncRNA from 1 species